rnacentral:rRNA from 1 species
UCAAGCUACUAAGAGCAUAGGGCGGAUGCCUAGGCACCAGGAGCCGAAGAAGGACGUGGUAAGCUGCGAAAAGCCACGGUGAGCCGCAAGCAGGCUUUGACCCGUGGAUUUCCGAAUGGGGGAACCCACUUGGGGUAAUGCCCAAGUAUCCAUAGCUGAAUCCAUAGGUUAUGGAGGGGAUACCCGGGGAACUGAAACAUCUAAGUACCCGGAGGAGAAGAAAGAAAGAUCGAUUUCCUAAGUAGCGGCGAGCGAACGGGAAAGAGCCCAAACCGUAAUGCAUAAUGCAUUGCGGGGUUGAGGACCGGCGAUAAGGCACAUAUAAAUGCUAGAUGAACUGGCUGGAAAGCCAGACCGAAGAAGGUGACAGUCCUGUAGUCGAAAGCAUUUAUAUAGCCGGCCGUGAUCCAGAGUACCACGAGGCACGUGAAACCUUGUGGGAAGCAGGGAGGCCCACCUCCCAAGGCUAAAUACUCCCUGGUGACCGAUAGCGAAGCAGUACCGUGAGGGAAAGGUGAAAAGCACCCCGGUGAGGGGAGUGAAAGAGAACCUGAAACCCUAUGUUUACAAGCAGUGGAAGCACUAUUAAUGUGCGACCGCGUACUUUUUGUAGAACGGACCGGCGAGUUACGUUAUGAUGCGAGGUUAAGGACUAGGAGGUCUGUAGCCGUAGGGAAACCGAGUCUUAAUAGGGCGUUUAAGUAUCAUGACGUAGACCCGAAACCAGGUGAUCUAUCCAUGGACAGGAUGAAACGGAAGUAAAAUUUCGUGGAGGUCCGAACCCACCAAUGUUGAAAAAUUGGGGGAUGAGCUGUGGAUAGGGGUGAAAAGCCAAUCGAACUUGGAGAUAGCUGGUUCUCCUCGAAAUAGCUUUAGGGCUAGCCUCAAGCGAGAGACGUGGAGGUAGAGCACUGACUGGGCUAGGGGGCCAACAAGCUUACCGAACCCUAUCAAACUCCGAAUGCCAUGAUCUUGCUGCUUGGGAGUCAGACUAUGUGAGAUAAGUUUCAUAGUCGAGAGGGAAAGAGCCCAGACCAUCAGCUAAGGUCCCAAAGUGUAGGUUAAGUGGAAAAGGAUGUGGGAUUGCGAAGACAACCAGGAUGUUGGCUUAGAAGCAGCCAUUCAUUUAAAGAGUGCGUAAUAGCUCACUGGUCGAGUGAUCCUGCGCCGAAAAUGUCCGGGGCUAAAACCUACCACCGAAGCUAUGGGUUGUCGUAGGGUUACUGGUACUAGCAAGAGAAGAAAGAGAACUUGUCAAAAUCGACAUUAGAAAAUUAAUGAAAGAUUUUGACUAAAUGUUUUCACAAGCAAAACCUACCAUAGAAGAACCUAUGUGAGGGCUUGUUGGUAGCAGUAACCCUGCGACAGCGGUAGAGGAGCAUUGUAUACGGGCAGAAGCCAUACCGUAAGGAGUGGUGGACUGUAUACAAGAGAGAAUGCCGGUAUGAGUAGCGAGAGCGAAGUGAGAAUCUUCGCCGUCGAAAGCCUAAGGUUUCCUGAGGAAGGUUCGUCCGCUCAGGGUAAGUCGGGACCUAAGCCGAGGGCGAGAGCCGUAGGCGAUGGACAAUCGGUUGAGAUUCCGAUACCACCUUAGCCUGUUUGACAGAAGCAGUGACACAGUAGGAUAGAUGGAGCGAGUUUAUGGAGAAACUCGUCCAAGCAGUGAGGGAGGGAGAUGAGUGAAGUACCAUCUUCUGUGAAUCCUAAGCUGUGAUGGGGACCGAAAAUAAGUAGGGAAGCCAUCGAUUUCACACUGGCGAGAAAAGCUGCUAUGGAGGGAUAAGGUGCCCGUACCGCAAACCGACACAGGUAGGCGAGGAGAGAAUCCUAAGACGAACGGGAGAACCCUUGUUAAGGAACUCGGCAAAAUGACCCCGUAACUUAGGGAGAAGGGGUGCCUGGGAGACCAGGCCGCAGUGAAUAGGCCCAAGCGACUGUUUAUCAAAAACAUAGGUCUCUGCUAACUCGAGAGAGGAAGUAUAGGGGCUGACGCCUGCCCAGUGCUGGAAGGUUAAGGGGACGUGUUAGCGAAAGCGAAGCAUAGAACCGAAGCCCCAGUGAACGGCGGCCGUAACUAUAACGGUCCUAAGGUAGCGAAAUUCCUUGUCGGGUAAGUUCCGACCCGCACGAAAGGCGCAACGACUUGGGCACUGUCUCAACAAGGGACCCGGCGAAAUUGUAGUACCA